rnacentral:misc_RNA from 1 species
GAUGAAGAACGUAGCGAAAUGCGAUAAGUAAUGUGAAUUGCAGAAUUCAGCGAAUCAUCGAAUCUUUGAACGCAUCUUGCGCUCCUUGGUAUUCCUUGGAGCAUGCCUGUUUGAGUAUCAUGAGCAAAUCUCAAAGUCAAUUCCUUUUGUUGAUUCAAUUGGUUUUGCUUUGGACUUGGAGGCCUUGCAGAUUUCACAGUCUGCUCCUCUUAAAUGCAUUAGCUGGAUCUCAGUAAUUAUGCUUGGUUCCACUCGGCGUGAUAAGUAUCACUCGCUGAGGACACUGUUAAAAAGGUGGCCAGGAAAAUACUGAUUGAACCGCUUCUAACGGUCUAUUAAGUUAGACAAUUACCCUUAAGUUUGAUCUCAAAUCAGGUAGGACUACCCGCUGAACUUAAGCAUAUCAAUAAGCGGAGGA